GAACCCAGCGAUGAGCUACGACGGCCUGAAAAUUUCUGCAAGUUCACAGAGUGGAGCUACCUGAGAGAAGAAAAUAGCAAGACCUCGGCACGAUGAGCGUAAUCGUUGUUUUCGCGCUGGUUUAUUUCGCAGUGAUCGUGACAGCGCUUCCAAGAAACCGCAAUGAUGUUUACUUGAGCCUGCAGCAACAACCUGGUUUGGGAAGAGAAUUGCCAACGCUGCCACCCAAUAUUCGUAAUGCCUCAGGUGGGCUGCCAGGGUUUGGGAGACCACAGCCAUCAUUUCCCCCAUUCAAUGACAUGGAUAGGGAAACGGGAAUACCCGGAGGGAUCCCGUCACUUCCGUUUCCGCCUAACUUCGCCUACAACCCACCACUAGUCCCAGCGAUGCCGGGCUUUCCGUCCUUUCCGUCCUUUCCAUCCUUUCCGUCUUUUCCGUCCUUUCCGUCCUUUCCGCCUUUCCAGAAUAAUAGCGACAGCCAACAAGGAGGCCGGCAACUCCUGCCGCAGUGGCCAACUGUGCCUCGUAAUAUGGGUGGCAGCCAAAGCUGGCCAGGAAUGCGAAGCCUACCACCACUAUUUCCUUUGAACAUCGGCCAAAACAUACCUCAAAGUGAUACCCGUUUCUCUUGGCCGCCACCUCCCUAUUCCGAAAGAGAUGGGGGCCGGAACCAACAUGGCAUACCUGGAAUUGGAAGCCCAAGUCGCUCCCAAAACGUUGGGCGUCGUGGAAACGAGCGACCAAAUUUUAUGAGAUCGCCGCCACCGUUCUUUAGGAGUACUUAUGACCGCAGUCCGGCCUCUCUAAGUGGUCUAAGAAGCCCGCCACCGCUUCCAUUUACGAGCAGCGACGGAAAUAACCAAGAUGGGCAAUCUGAACAUGAAGACGCAACCUCACUACGGGCGCAAGGUGAUACUAAAGAAAGCGAAGAAAACGAACAGUCGUUGAUGGCAGCUCAACAAGAACGGUAAAGUCAGUGCACUUCUCUGCAAAUAAAGAACUCUACACAGUUUUUUUUGUUAUUCAAUGUGACGCAUUUUGUUUUUCUAUGUACAAGGCAAGUCAGGCAGAAAUAAUCAUAUGGACAGUACCAUAACCACUUCUAAUAGUGCAGC